rnacentral:rRNA from 1 species
UACGAAGGGUGCAAACGUUGCUCGGAAUUAUUGGGCGUAAAGCGCACGUAGGCGGCUUAGCAAGUCGGAUGUGAAAUCCCUCGGCUCAACCAAGGAAGUGCAUCCGAAACUGCUGAGCUUGAGUACUUAAGAGGAUCGCGGAAUUCCCGGUGUAGAGGUGAAAUUCGUAGAUAUCGGAAGGAACACCAGUGGCGAAGGCGGCGAUCUGGGAAGAUACUGACGCUGAGGUGCGAAAGCGUGGGGAGCAAACAGG